UUCUACCAUAUGUCUUUGAAUAUUCUGAGCUAAUCCCCUUCCUGUUGAAUUUUUGCCCUCGUGAAUGAGUUUGUUUCUAAAGGACCAUAUCAACCAUAACGCAUAGCAGAAAAGCCGACACUGGUAAUUGUUGUUGUUCUUGAAAACCCAGGACACUCUCGGAAAACAUGAAGACUCUCUUCUACUCCAAAAUAACAUCGUGGACAGCGGGCAGUUGAAUUAACCCUCCUCAACCUGAGAUUACCAAAGUGAGGGAUAUAAUCCCAUGAAAUCCUCCAGAUUGUAAUUGCAAUUUUUGAAGGCAAUUGUAGGCUCCAUAAUUUUUUGUAAAAAUUUCUUAUUUCGGUCUGUAAUAGGUAGUCAUUAGCUGUAGAAGCAUCUUGUAGUAGUUUAUACGCACUACGUACUGAAAACUCACCAGAUAGUUCUCCACUCCACACCUGAAUAUCCUCAUGUUCGGUCUCUGCCAGAGGAAUUUGUAGAAUCUUCCGAGCAGUAUCUUCUUGAAAGCCACCUUGUCAAUCCCCUGAAUCCAGUUGUCUUCCCAGAUAGAAAUGCUACUCCCUUUACCAACUCUCCAACCCAAUCCUCUUUGGAGAAGUCCUUUUGCCCGCCAGAUGCUCUUCCG